GUUGAGCUGGUUCUUCUAGAGCAAGUGCUCGCCUGUCUUUCGAUAUUCAUCCACCUGUGCACUUUUUGUAGGAAGGCCGAGAAGAUGGACCUGGUUAAACAACCAGGUCUUUUGGUAUCGGGGCUUUCUAUGUCUUUUAUACACUCUGUAUGUUUUUGAAUGUCCUUUAUAAAGGGGCUUAGUUGACCCUUUUAAACAAACUAUACAACUUUCAGCAACGGAUCUCUUGGUUCUCGCAUCGAUGAAGAACGCAGCGAAAUGCGAUAAGUAAUGUGAAUUGCAGAAUUCAGUGAAUCAUCGAAUCUUUGAACGCACCUUGCGCCUCUUGGUAUUCCGAGAGGCAUGCCUGUUUGAGUGUCAUUUAAUUCUCAACCUCAAAAGCUUUUUUGUUUCUGAGGCUUGGAUGUGGAGGCUUUUUUUGCUGGCUUGCUUUUUAGAGUCAGCUCCUCUCAAAUGCAUUAGUGGAAACCUGUUUGUAGUCCGCGUUGGUGUGAUAAUUAUCUGCGCCAUUGUAUUCGUGGCUACAGCUCUUGUGGUGUUCGUUUGGAAAGCUGCAUGAACUUGCUCUUUCUGUUCUGAUUGACCUGCGAGAGAGUAUAUGGUAUUCGCUUCAAACCGUCCUAAGUCGGUGG
rnacentral:rRNA from 1 species